rnacentral:lncRNA from 1 species
UGGUGUGUAUAAAGAUGGUUGAAUAAAGUACAUUUAGGGACAAAUCAAAUUAUUUUUGUUCAGGUAAUACUUUGUUAGGCCAUUAAAUAGGUCAGUGGUCUGUGACAAUAUGCCUUUCAGAUAAUCACCAACAAGACAAUAGCUCAAAGGUUUUUCAAAACAGUAUUUUAUGUCUCUUUAAAUUUAGCAUCGUGACCUAUUAAUGUUUUGUAUAGCCUCACUAAACUCAUUGAUAUUUUAAGCUUGCCAACAUUUCCCGAUAUACAGUAUAACUGAAUCAAAUUGGGCUCCGUUUAUAAACUUUUGAAGUACAUGUUUAUACAUUUUUACAGGAAACUUUAUGUCCAGUAUUAUGAUUCCCUUUGUGUGUCAGAGAUUCUAAAACAUAAAAUAUUAGUUUCUAUUCAGGUAUCAAAUUGAUUAGCAACUGUCACUAAUCAAAAUUUUUAAUUCAAAGUUUUCUCUUUAUUAGCUCAUACUAAUUUAAAUUGAUAGUAGAAGUUCCAUUCACCUGGUAUGGUGAUAGUGAAAACCAUUCAACUGGUAUGAUGAUAGUAAAGUUCCAUUCAACUGGUAUGGUGAUAGUAAAGUUCCAUUCAACUGGUAUGGUGAUAGUAAAGUUCCAUUCAACUGGUAUGGUGAUAGUAAAGUUCCAUUCAACUGGUAUAAUAAUAGUAGUUCCAUUCAGCUGGUAUGAUAAUAGUAGUUCCAUUCAACUGGUAUGAUAAUAGUAGUUCCAUUCAACUGGUAUGAUAAUAGUAGUUCCAUUCAACUGGUAUGAUGAUAGUAAAGUUCCAUUCAACUGGUAUGGUGAUAGUAAAGUUCCAUUCAACUGGUAUGGUGAUAGUAAAGUUCCAUUCAACUGGUAUGAUAAUAGUAGUUCCAUUCAACUGGUAUGGUGAUAGUAAAGUUCCAUUCAACUGGUAUGAUAAUAGUAAAGUUCCAUUCAGCUGGUAUGUCUGUUUGUUUGUUUUGUUUAACAACACCACUAGAGCACAUUGAUUUAUUAAUCAUCAGCUAUUGGAUGUCAAACAUAUGGUCAUUUUGACAGUCAUAGAGAGAAAACCUGCUACAUUUUUUUCUUUUUCCAUUAGUAGCAAGGGAUCUUUUAUAUGCACCAUUCUACAGACAAGAUAGCACAUACCACGGUCUUUGAUAUACCAGUCGUGGUGCACUGGUUAACUGGUAUGAUAGAAAAGUUCCAACCAACUGGUACAUAUAACUGGUAUGAUGAUAGUAGAGUUGCAUUCAACUGGUAUGAUGAUAGUAGAUAUACAUAUUUAGUCAGUUUACAUUUGUUCAGCAGUGUGAACAAUUCCCAAUUUCAACAUUUGUUUUUAUGUUCUUUGUUUUUUUAUGUUCUUUGCUUAGAAAAAAACUAUUAUUGGACAUACAUUUACUACUGAAUUACUAAAACAGUCCUUUCAAAAGUGCCUGGUGAAGCCCAUAGACAUGUCAUUUUAGCUAAUAGUUUGAUUUAAUGAUCAAGUUACAGAUAAUACAGACAUUGUAUUUUUGUAUUCUAAGACAUUACAAGAUUGUAAUACAUUUUUCCCCAUUUAUAUUUCAACAAUUGUGCCUUUUUCACCAAUGGCAAGUGCCGUAAUAUUUUUAGCAGGUAUUUAUUAAAACAAAAAUCAAAGAUAAUGUAAGUGCAGUAUUUUUAUAAUUAUGGACUAAUUAAUAACAUAAUUAUUUUAUGGAAUUUCCCCAGUUUAUUGAAGGACAUCCUCUCGGCAUCUCACGUAAAACUGUAGUUGUGGGCCAAGAGCCUUCCAGUGUUGUAUACUACAUGUACAUGUACCUGUAUGUAAUUACCAAACAAAUAUAUAGUCAUUUGUAUAUAGUGUUGUAUACUACAUGUACAUGUACCUGUAUGUAAUUACCACACAAAUAUAUAGUCAUUUGUAUACAGUGUUGUAUACUACAUGUACAUGUACCUGUAUGUAAUUACCAAACAAAUAUAUAGUCAUUUGUAUAUAGUGUUGUAUACUACAUGUACAUGUACCUGUAUGUAAUUACCACACAAAUAUAUAGUCAUUUGUAUACAGUGUUGUAUACUACAUGUACAUGUACCUGUAUGUAAUUACCAAACAAAUAUAUAGUCAUUUGUAUACAGUGUUGUAUACUACAUGUACAUGUACCUGUAUGUAAUUACCACACAAAUAUAUAGUCAUUUGUAUACAGUGUUGUAUACUACAUGUACAUGUACCUGUAUGUAAUUACCAAACAAAUAUAUAUUCAUUUGUAUACAAUAUACUCACUAUAUUUAUUGGGAUAUAAAUGUACCUUCUGGGGCAGUGGAUCUCUGUACAAGUUAGUAAAGGAAAUUUAUAUAUGGUGUCUUGUGUAAUUACACAUAUGAAGGGUGCAUGGGAAUAACCUGUGAUGUCACAUUUUUAUUAAGGUGAUAUUUUGGAAUUUUAAUGUUUACAACUCUGCAAUUGUGCAAUAUUUAUGCCUAAAAAAGCAUAAUUUACAAACUACUUUUAAUGGCCGACCAUAAUUACAGGUUUUUAAUUUAGUGUGUUACUGUGACCUUAACAUACGUGACCGUUAUAAUACUAUCUGUUUGGACAUCAUAGGUUAUUCCCAUGGGCCCUUCAUAUACAUGUGGAUUGUGGACUCGUAUACCUGUGUACUUGUAUAUACAGACAGUUGCUUCAUGCAGGCUGUGGACUCCUAUACGUGUAUAUACAGAGUUGCUUCAUGCAGGCUGUGGACUCCUAUACCUGUGUACUUGUAUAUACAGAGUUGCUUCAUGCAGGCUGUGGACUCGUAUACCUGUGUACUUGUAUAUACAGUUGCUUCAUGCAGGUUGUGGACUCGUAUACCUGUGUACUUGUAUAUACAGAGUUGCUUCAUGCAGGCUGUGGACUUGUAUACGUGUAUAUACAGUUGCUUCAUGCAGGCUGUGGACUCCUAUACGUGUAUAUACAGAGUUGCUUCAUGCAGGCUGUGGACUCCUAUACCUGUGUACUUGUAUAUACAGUUGCUUCAUGCAGGCUGUGGACUCCUAUACGUGUAUAUACAGAGUUGCUUCAUGCAGGCUGUGGACUCCUAUACCUGUGUACUUGUAUAUACAGUUGCUUCAUGCAGGCUGUGGACUCCUAUACGUGUAUAUACAGAGUUGCUUCAUGCAGGCUGUGGACUCGUAUUCGUGUAUACGUGUAUAUACAGUUGCUUCAUGCAGGCUGUGGACUCCUAUACGUGUAAAUACAGACAGUUGCUUCAUGCAGGCUGUGGACUCGUAUACAUGUAUAUACACAGUUGCUUACACAUUUGAAUACCUUUUGUUCUAUUUUUGUGUGUUAAUUACAUUCUCACACAUACAGAAAUGUUAAUGAAAGAAUUGUAUGGUCAUGGUAACAUCUUAAUUACCUUAUAUUAUAGCCAAUGUUUGUGGGUGAUACAAUUUACACUGUUAUUUUUAUUAGCACUACACAAUGUAUGUCAGUAGCAUUGUAUGAUGUCUUUCCAGUGUUUUCUAUAUUCCUUACAGCCAACAGAAUGUUCAAUGAUUACUUUUUUAUAAUGCCAAGACCCCCUUACUGAAAAUUCUUCUUGUGUUUUUAUUUUGUUUUUCUUUCAGUUGACAAUAAAUAUUAGAAGAAAACUAAAAUUAUCUGUAAUGGAACAAAUUGCCCACAACGGGCUGCAAUGAAUUAUUUUACAAAUAGAAAUUACAUUUUUUGAAAAUGUUUAUAAAACUGGACAAGGAGAUCUCCCCCAUAUUAGUUUGCAAUGCAUCCAUGACAUCCCAUUCCCCUUAAUACCAUUUCAUUGUUGAACAGCCCUCAUAACACGAAGUACAAUUAGGUUUACUUGGUAUAUAGGUGCAUAUAUUAAACCACAUUUCCUUGUUGUUUUUAUUGAGAAACAAAAAGGGGGGGGGGAGAGAGCAAAUUUACAAAGCCCGUUUCCCUUAAACGCAGGUGUUUAAGCAUUGUAAAUGUAUGUAGUUAAACACAUGUGUAAGACAUAAAUAGGAUUUGUAAAUUCGGCCCAAUAUUUUUGUUCAAGUUAAUAUAUUUGUAUUUUGAAAUGGUUUGUAGUGGGUGGGUGGUGCUAACCUUCCUCCAAUGAAUGAAUGUAGGUGGGUGGGUGGGUGAAUGAUUGACAAUCACUUAUGGUAGUCAGGUAUGUUCAGUAUUUCAAUAUGAUUAAGUUAUUUGGUUUAGAUUUGUUGGGAGGCUGUGCAAGUUCGGUUCAUAAAAGCAUCUAGGCCAUACACCGACCACAUCCUCCUGACCUGCUGGUGUGUUACACUGUGUAGGACCAUUCUAGUCUUACAGAUAGUCAUAGCAAUCGGAAAAAUACAAAAUUGAUAGUUUUAAUUUCAAGCCAAUUCAUAUUUCAUUGUUAACAUCAGGCCAAUUCAGAAGGCUACAAACUGAAAUUGUUAAAGGCGCACACCCUAUAGUUUCAGCCCGUGAAAAUGAACACUAAUUUAGAUAACCAUUAUUUUAUUGUGGCCCAUUUACAUCUAAGGUUGUUUUGGGUUUUUUCGUUCCCCCCCUCAUUAUUGUAACCAAUGUCAACAGUACGCAUAAGCAAGUUGACUGAAUUGGUAUGUCUAAAUGUUAAGUACAGGUUAGAUAUUUAAAUAUGUUGUUAUUUCAGUAAGAGCAAAAUACUAUACUGCAUAUGUUAACCAAUGUUUGUUUUCAACAGUGUUUGUUUUCUUGUUAUAAAUGAACUUUUAAGGUUGCAAAUACACAUGUAUAUAUUUUAUAAUUAUAAAAGUAUAAUUUACUCAAGGUAUUCAUGAAGCAAGUUUAAUUGCUUUUUCUUAAUAAAAAGAAGGAAAAUA